rnacentral:rRNA from 1 species
AAAGGGAAACGAUUGAAGUCAGUCGUAUAGCGGGAAAUCACCUUUCGAGUGGGGAUUUGGAGUUUUGAACUGUGUUAAAACCUUUGAGAUUUCAAUAUUUUCGCUCUUUUGGUGUACUUUCUCGCAGGUAGG